UACAGAGGUCUCAAGCGUUGUUCGGAUUCAUUGGGCGUAAAGGGUGCGUAGGCGGCGCGGUAAGUCGGGUGUGAAAUCUCGGGGCUUAACUCCGAAACUGCAUUCGAUACUGCCGUGCUUGAGGACUGGAGAGGAGACUGGAAUUUACGGUGUAGCGGUGAAAUGCGUAGAUAUCGUAAGGAAGACCAGUGGCGAAGGCAGGUCUCUGGACAGUUCCUGACGCUGAGGCACGAAGGUCAGGGGAGCAAACGGG
rnacentral:rRNA from 1 species